CCUACGGGGGGCUGCAGUGGGGAAUCUUCCGCAAUGGGCGCAAGCCUGACGGAGCAAUGCCGCGUGAGUGACGAAGGCCUUCGGGUUGUAAAACUCUGUCCUUAGGGAAGAACGGUCUAUAUGUGAAUAAUGUAUAGAAAUGACGGUACCUAAGGAGGAAGCCCCGGCUAACUACGUGCCAGCAGCCGCGGUAACACGUAGGGGGCGAGCGUUGUCCGGAAUCACUGGGCGUAAAGAGCACGUAGGCGGAUUAUUAAGUCAGAUGUGAAAACUCUGGGCUCAACCUAGAGACUGCAUCUGAAACUGGUAGUCUUGAGUAUAGAAGAGGAGAGUGGAAUUCCUAGUGUAGCGGUGAAAUGCGUAGAUAUUAGGAGGAACACCAGUGGCGAAGGCGACUCUCUGGUCUAUAACUGACGCUGAGGUGCGAAAGCGUGGGGAGCAAACAGGCUUAGAUACCCGAGUAGUC
rnacentral:rRNA from 1 species